UCGGGUGCUCUCUCUCUUUGGUUGAUGGUCUCUGGUCCGGAAGUUCCCUCACUUCCUCUCAGUCCCACCGCUGCUACAACGUCUCUCCCAGAUCUGCUCCCGACGGCGCCUGAGAAGACCUAUGCCUCCUUAGUCUGCGGUCUUGAAACCAUUAGAGUCAUAUCUGAAACCAGUGCCUGUCGGAGAGCUCACCCAGACACCUCC
rnacentral:lncRNA from 1 species